AGGAUAAACGCUGGCGGCGUGCCUAACACAUGCAAGUCGAACGCGCUUUCGGGCUUCGGUGCGAGAGCGAGUGGCGGACGGGUGAGUAACACAUGGGUACCUGCCUUUCAGUGAGGGAUACCGGCGAGAAAUCGCCGACAAUACCGCAUGGGCUUGUGGGAACACAAGCAAAGUGGCGCAAGCCACGCUGGAAGAUGGGCCUGUGGCCGAUUAGCUAGUUGGGGGUAACGGCCUCCCAAGGCGACGAUCGGUAGCUGGUCUGAGAGGACGAUCAGCCACACUGGGAUUGAGAACGGCCAGACUCCUACGGGGGGCAGCAGUGAGGAAUUUUCCGCAAUGGACGAAAGUCUGACGGAGCAACGCCGCGUGCAGGAGGAAGGUUUUCGGAUCGUAAAACUGCUUUUCGUCGGGGACGAGCAAGGACGGUACCCGAGGAAGAAGCCCCGGCUAACACGUGCCAGCAGCCGC
rnacentral:rRNA from 1 species